GCCUGAUGGAGGGGGAUAACUACUGGAACGGUAGCUAAUACCGCAUAACGUCGCAAGACCAAAGAGGGGGACCUUCGGGCCUCUUGCCAUCGGAUGUGCCCAGAUGGGAUUAGCUAGUAGGUGGGGUAACGGCUCACCUAGGCGACGAUCCCUAGCUGGUCUGAGAGGAUGACCAGCCACACUGGAACUGAGACACGGUCCAGACUCCUACGGGAGGCAGCAGUGGGGAAUAUUGCACAAUGGGCGCAAGCCUGAUGCAGCCAUGCCGCGUGUAUGAAGAAGGCCUUCGGGUUGUAAAGUACUUUCAGCGGGGAGGAAGGGAGUAAAGUUAAUACCUUUGCUCAUUGACGUUACCCGCAGAAGAAGCACCGGCUAACUCCGUGCCAGCAGCCGCGGUAAUACGGAGGGUGCAAGCGUUAAUCGGAAUUACUGGGCGUAAAGCGCACGCAGGCGGUUUGUUAAGUCAGAUGUG
rnacentral:rRNA from 1 species